AUAUAUAAUUAUAUCACAGGGCAGCCAAAAACUGGUUACUCACUGAAGCUAAGCAGGGCUGAGCCUGGUCAGUAGCUGGAUGGGAGACCACAUGGGAAAACUAGGUUGCUGUUGGAA
rnacentral:rRNA from 1 species